rnacentral:tRNA from 1 species
GGAAGCGCAGCUCGAAUAGUGGAGCGCACGCUUGAUAAGCGUGAGGGUGAAGGUGCAAGUCCUUCCGCUUCUACCA